AAAUUUAAACCUCUUACGGCUGGAAUUUCAAAAAUAUAUUACAAUUUUUUUGGUAAAAUAAUUUGAAAUUUUCAAAAACUAUAAUUUUUUGAAAAAUUUCAAAUUAGAACCGCUAACAAAAUUGUGUCAAAAAAAGCUUUUCAUUUCAUUUUCUCUUCAUGUUUUCUGUUUUCAGCCGGCUUUUCUUUUUGCAGCGAGAGCGCGUUGAAAGCUUCUGCGGAAAAGCCGGAAAGUGCGCGAGAGAGCGGCGUGGAAAGCUCUCGGAGCUUUACCGUUACCCAGCAAACGCAGCGAAUUCGCGAAAAAUGAAUAUCACGAAAAUGAACACCCGCCUUGCCUGCCAGCCUGUGUCUGACUUUUCCCGAGAGGGAAAAGCGGUCGGUCGGUCGCAUCUGUGUGUUGUUUCCUUUUCCGCUGAGUGUGUGUGAGUUUCCAACUUUUUUUUUUGUUCGCAUUUAUUUUUCUUGUGUGUACGGACGGCUCUGCCCUAGCAUCUCCGCCGCUUUUGGCUUUUCCGAGGACCGAGGACGAAAUGGAAAUGCCAACAAGUAGCAGUUCAGCAUUCGACGCGUUCGCUUGUUUUGCGGAACAGCGAAAGGCAGACAGGCAGCAGCUCAGCUAACGUUUCGAUAUUUUCGAAAAAAAGCCGAAACUAACGGUCACCGGAGUUUAUUUUCAAAAAACUGUCUUCAUUUUCGAGUUUUUUUUUUCGGUUCAAUUUCUUCAAAUGUGACUUUUUUAAAAAGUGAUUUGUUUUUUGGAAACUGAGAACAGAAACAGACUACAUUUUUGGAUAAAAGUGAACUUGAAGGCGAAAUUUAAACUGAACAGAGUUGCGAUUUGAAAAUAGCUGAUUGCCAAAAUGCAGACGAAUGUGCAAAUCGACUCGAAGAAUCUGCGCAGCAACGAUGACAACUUCCGUUCCCGUGGACAUCACAUUACCAUCGAGGCUCUGUUUUGGACGCGCUUGUUUAUUUUUCGUUUUGGUUUUUACUUGAAUAAACUGACGACUGCCGGCCCUACACAUACAUAUACAUAUUGACCUUGGAAUACUGUCCGCUGGCAUUAAAAUCGACGUCGGGGGAAAAUUCGUUGAGACGAGAAAAACGGAGACAGCAUUAAAAUUUUUUGCUGCAUACGCGUAGGCGCCGUCAACACGUGACGGGCAAAUCAAGUUUGAAAAUCCAGUCAGGGGGUGGAAAAAAUCACCAGCAGCUGCUUCAAGUCAGGUGUGCCUAUCCCCAAAAAAUCAUGCUUAGAAAAAAAGUUCGUUGAAUGUGGAACGAAAAGCAAACACGCAAAAAUUACACAUUUAAGGAGGAACAUUUUAUACAAUUUCUGUCCACCUUUUUUUAAAAAACACAUUUAUUUCUAAGAACAUUUAUACAGAUACCAAAAAUAACUCAAAAUCCUAAACGACAUUUCACAAACAAAAUUUCUUAAUAAAUAUUUUCAUUUGCUGCAUUUUGUU